rnacentral:rRNA from 1 species
CCUUGCCAGCCCGCUCAGAAACUUAAUGAAUUGACGGGGGCCCGCACAAGCGGUGGAGCAUGUGGUUUAAUUCGAUGAUACGCGAGGAACCUUACCUGGGCUCAAAUGUAUGUUGACGUAUUCUGAAAGGGAUACUUCUUCGGACAAUAUACAAGGUGCUGCAUGGUUGUCGUCAGCUCGUGCCGUGAGGUGUCGGGUUAAGUCCCAUAACGAGCGCAACCCCUAUCAUUAGUUGCCAUCAGGUCAAGCUGGGGACUCUAAUGAAACUGCCUACGCAAGUAGUGAGGAAGGUGGGGAUGACGUCAAAUCAGCACGGCCCUUACGUCCAGGGCUACACACGUGCUACAAUGGCCGGUACAAAGGGCAGCUACCUGGUGACAGGAUGCUAAUCUCAAAAGCCGGUCUCAGUUCGGAUCGGAGUCUGCAACCCGACUCCGUGAAGUUGGAAUCGCUAGUAAUCGCGCAUCAGCAUGGCGCGGUGAAUACGUUCCCGGGCCUU